rnacentral:rRNA from 1 species
UACGGAGGAUCCAAGCGUUAUCCGGAUUUAUUGGGUUUAAAGGGUGCGUAGGUGGCUUUUUAAGUCAGGGGUGAAAGACGGUAGCUUAACUAUCGCAGUGCCUUUGAUACUGAAGAGCUUGAAUAAACUAGAGGUAGGCGGAAUGUGACAAGUAGCGGUGAAAUGCAUAGAUAUGUCACAGAACACCAAUUGCGAAGGCAGCUUAUUAUGGUUUUAUUGACACUGAGGCACGAAAGCGUGGGGAUCAAACAGG